rnacentral:miRNA from 2 species
UAACAAAGGACAACAGACUGA